AUCCAUCUGACUAGUCUUAAACAGGACGAAAUGCGCGUCCUGGAU
rfam:Schistosoma mattheei strain Denwood, Zambia genome assembly, scaffold: SMTD_scaffold0005092